rfam:Papio anubis isolate 1X1155 chromosome 3, whole genome shotgun sequence.
CCUUCUUCUCGUUUGCCUUUUUCUGCUUCUGCUGCAUAUCUCCGAGUCCCUGGGGGUAGAGGUGAUGGGGCACUAGGAGGUACCAGAGGGCAAAAAGAAC